rnacentral:rRNA from 1 species
UACGUAGGCAGCGAGCGUUGUUCGGAGUUACUGGGCGUAAAGAGUGCGUAGGCGGUUUUCUAAGUUUGGUGUGAAAUCUCCCGGCUUAACUGGGAGGGUGCGCCGAAAACUGGAAGGCUUGAGUAUGGGAGAGGUAAGCGGAAUUCCUGGUGUAGCGGUGAAAUGCGUAGAUAUCAGGAGGAACACCUGCGGUGUAGACGGCUUACUGGACCAUAACUGACGCUGAGGCACGAAAGCGUGGGUAGCAAACCGG